UGCUUUUUCUUGGUUAGCUUAUUUUUGGUUUCAUUCUACUUUAGUUAGAUUAGAAUUAACUUGUUUUCUUUUUCCUUAGUUUAAUGUUUUGGCAGCUUAGGGUUUUGUUGUGUACAUUUACUUGGCUGCCAACAGUAUUUUUUUUUGUUUAUUUGGGUUUCUUUUGUGGUAACCCUGCUAAUUUGUCGUCUCCCUUUUCAGUUGCUGAGAGCUGCCGGUGGUGGUCCCCGGUGUCCUGGUGGUGGUUUCCCCUUUUGAGUGUGUGUUGUGUGCCCCCUUUUUUUUUUUUUUUUUUUUUUUUUUUUUAGUUUUUCACAUAUGAUCGGGGUGAUUUUGUUUUCCCUGGAUUCCUCUCACUCCUGACUCACGUCCCCCUACUGGUUCUGCAAUGAGUGAACAUGGCAUGCCAGACCACAGAAUUUAGUGAAGAAACAAGCAAAGAUUAUCAUUUAAAAAUUCUACUAGUUUCUUGGAUUUUUACAAGUUUUCUCCCAGUGUGGCAUGUCCAGUCCCCUAUUCACUGAGUUGUCACUUGGCCUCGGCAGAGCUACAGACAGACAUGUGCCUCCUCCAUGACAUUUGGUGUUGCCAGCCGUUUCCUUUCACCUGCCAGAGAAAGAAAUGCACCAGGACUGCAUAAAACAUUAGAGGUUCACACCAUCUCCCACUUUUCUACUCCCCACUGUGCCAGCACCUGGACCAAGUGCAGUGACAAGGACGCCCAUCCAGUGUGCUCUGGACUAUGGGAGCGUAGGAGUGGUGUGCUAGCUGGGAUUGAUGCACUGGAACGAACCCCCCCCCCCCCCCCAAAAAAAAAAAACCCAGUCUGUCAUUGUAGUACUGAUCACUGACUCCCAUGUUAAGGAAAGCAGCAGAGAGUGGGAUGGCCAAAUCACACACCCUGUAAUCCGAGGCCGCCCUGCCAGUUUGAUUAAACUAUGUACAUCAACAGGCCUGCACCCCAGAGGCCCUGGGUAACACAGGGGCACAGCGCAGUGGAGUGGGUCAAGGGUGUAAUGCUGCCUUUUGCCAUCACUUUUCACUGCAGGUUUGUGUCAGAAAAAUACAGACACAGGUAGACACAAGUGGUGAGAUUUCAAGGCUAAUUCUGUGAGAAUGCACCAGCUGGUCUGUGAACGUUCCAGACCCACUGUGCUGCUGAUGAAUCUCUGCUCAGCUGUCUUACUGGGGAGCGUUUUAUCUAUCAUGCCACACCUGCAGAACGAGAUAUUCUCAAAAUCUGUCUCCUUCUCACCCAUGUUGAUGUUAAAGAGUACUCCCUGUAGAAUCUCACAUGAUGCCUGAACCAGGCUGGGAGGCCUGACCCAGAUAUGGCAUCCCAGUGUCACACACAGCAGUCAGCAAUAUCAGUAAAACUCAACUUCUUCCUCACACUUGCACACAUUUCUUUCCUUUCACAUUCCCCUUUUCUCUUUUUUUAAAAAAAAAAAAAAAAGUACACAGCCACACAAAAAGCUCUCAAGGGGAAUGAGAAGUUUGCUAAGAGACUCUGAAGAAAAAUGUGCGAGCGUACACUAAACAGUGAAGCAGUGGAGAUAUUGCUCCAGUUGUUUAGCAAAUGUGCUUUUUUUUUUUUUACACUGUAUAAUUAUGGUAAUUAUAGUAAUGUUCUGGAAAACCUUUGGGAGAAUAAUAGUGUUCAUUUACAUCAAUGGCAUUGCUUUAAAGAGUUUAAGUCUCCUAGGUAGAAAUUAGUGCUUCUGUGUUCCUCUCUAAAUGCAAUAAACAGCUUCAGUAUAUUUCCUAA